rnacentral:siRNA from 1 species
GCAACUCAGUCCUCCAUCCACCA